rnacentral:lncRNA from 1 species
CUAAGACAGACUAGGAAGAAGGACCUGGCCACCCACUUCUGAAAAAACUGGCCAUGAAAACCCUGUGAAUAGCAGUGGAACAUUGUCUGAUGUAGAGCUGGAAGGAGUCCAAAUCCACAUUGUUUCUGGGAACUGUGAAUUCUCUGGACUUGCAUGGAUGGUCCUAAAGGCUAUACUGAGGUUGCAGAGUCUUAGGGUUUAGAAAACCAGCACCUGUACUUCAAAGCUGAAGCAGCGUGGGUCAGUGAAAUGAGUUUGAAGGGUGCAGGGAGCAGGAGCUUUCCUUAGGAGGGUCCCAGGUCAUGUCAAGAGGACCUGCCAAGGACAUAGCAGUCCCAAGCUUUGGUCUUCUGACGCUCUACCUAUGGGAAAGGGAGUACCUAUAAAUUGGCCAACAGAACUGAAUACUUUAGCACAGAGCUGGAAGAGGUAAAGGCUUUUGGAUUUCUGGCCCAGACACACUUCAUUCUGCCCUUUUUGAGCCUAUGGAUGUCUUCACCACCUGGAGUUCAGACUAAUAGGAUUGUAAGGAGAAAUUUGGACACAAAGACACACAGAGAGGGGAAAAUGAUGUGAAGACACAGGGAGAAGACACCAUCUAUGAAGGACAUCAAGGAUUGCCAGCACACCAUCAGAAGCUAGGAGAGAAACAUGCAAGAGAUCCUUCCCUCUGCUAAAAACAAGACAACAGGCCCCAAAUGGAGUCGCUGAUGCUAAGCCCGUGUCACCAAACCAAGACUUAAGUUAAUUACAGUAUUAGCUCUCCAAGAAAUGAAAUCUUAAACCAGUCGAUCAGGAAUUGCCUGAUCGGCUCUAGUUGGGUAAUCUGCCUGAUAGACCCCUGCCAUCCCCUACAGGAAAGUAACCUUGCGAUAACCAACCUACUUGUUUGCCUAAUGUAACUUCCUUGUUCCUGCUCCUUUCUGCCUGUAAGUCUUUCAUUUUGUAUAUAGCUCCUCAGAGCGCCUUUCUAUCUGUUAGAUUGGAUGCUGCCCAAUUCAUG